GGGGAUUUAGCUCAGUGGUAGAGCGCUUGCCUAGCAAGCGCGAGGCCCUGGGUUCGGUCCCUAGCUCCG
rnacentral:tRNA from 1 species